GACGAACGCUGGCGGCGUGCUUAACACAUGCAAGUCGAACGAAGUGGCGAACGGGUGAGUAACGUGUAAUCAACCUGCCCUUCAGAGGGGGAUAACAGUUGGAAACGACUGCUCAUACCGCAUACUUAAGGAGGGGAUUGCGUCGGAUUAGCUGGUUGGAGGGGUAACGGCCCACCAAGGCGAAGAUCAGUAGCCGGUCUGAGAUGAUGACCGGCCACAUGGGGACUGAGACACGGCCCAGAAUCGUACGGGAGGCAGCAGUGGGGAAUCUUCCGAAAUGGACGAAAGUCUGACGGGGCAACGCCGCGUGAGUGAUGACGGCCUUCGGGUUGUAAAGCUCUGUUAAUCGGGACGCGGUACCGGAAUAGAAAGCCACGGCUAACUACGUGCCAGCAGCCGCGGUAAUUC
rnacentral:rRNA from 1 species